CGCCAAACGCCAGCGACUCCAUUGUUCUGCGGUGAAAUAUGGACGCAGAGACUCCCUUUACAUUCGGGCGAUCAUCACUUACUGUGAAAUAUCGAGGCAGUGCCAUCCAAAGAUCAUUUUUCACUUUGCAUCAUUCACUUCAGUUGCUUCUAAUAAAAGCAGGAGUUCAGAGAUUUUUUUGUCCCAGUGGCAGCUGUUGUGAAUUUGUCAUCUGUGCAGCUGAAACGGGAGACUGAGGAACUUUGGACCAAAGAAAAGACCUCUCUAUUGUGUCUUUGCUGUUUGUUUUUGGUGAUUUAAUGUUACUGAGUUAAGUGCUUUCUGAUCUUUGUGGUUUGAGCUUUAAUAAAGGAAAAUGUUUUGGCGGUGCUGAAAGGAUGGAAGAAAGAGAUGCUCGAUACAGAGACUAUUUUUAUGUUUGUUUUGGAAAAUGAAGCGGAAUUUGCGGACCUGCCUGUACAAGUGCUUAAGCUAUGAUAGCACCGCCCUCUACAACACAGGUUUAAGCGUCCACUUUUGGUAAAAAGUCAAUGUAAAUGCAUGUUUUGCACUAUCUUCACAUGCCCAAUAUAACGUAGUGUGUCAAUAAAUAUGACAGGACCAUUCAAGUGUGUACCUCAAAGAAAGACUGCAAAAAACUAACAUUAUUAUAACUGAAAAAAUAAUGUAUUUUUUAUUUUUUAGCUUUUGUAAAUGCUAAUAUUACAAAACUUCUAAAAGGCUUUAAGACUUAAGAGCUUAUAUUUAUAUGAGGGGGUGGAAAACUCCAGGCCACAAGGGGCGUUGUGUUUGCAUGUUGUCCAAAUCUCUUGGCCCUUCUCAUGGCUGAUUACCUGAGUCAGGUGUGUCCAUCCAAUUAGAACAUGGCAGAACGGGGAAUGCUGGGAAAAAAAGAAAAAAAAAGAAACACAGUCCUCAGUCCUGAUUUAUUAUUGAUCAUGUGUUCUUGGGGUCCUGACUCACCUGUCUUCACUGCACCUGCUGAGCAAUUUUAGAGCAGCUGACAGACUUGACUGAGUGAGCAGCAUGGAGAUCACAAGAGCAGAGGAGGUUGUGAUUUGUCUGCGUCAAGUUUUAAACACAAAAACAUAAAGUAGAGAGCUGGCUGCUUGGCUGCAUGGUCGUGUGGAGCAGCUGAGGAGUUUCUCUGCCCUGAGGGAGAUGCUCACAGGUGACCAGAGGAAGCUGAAGGUGUUUUAACAAAAGACAUAUCUGCUUGUUGUCUGAUCUUCACCAUCUCUGCCUUUGAUGGAACAAUUGUUUGUGGGGUCAGAGUUCACGUCCUUGCUUUUAAAGCCCUCAUGAAUCUGGGAACAGGACCAGAGAAACGUGGCUUUCUGCUCACAGGAGGACGUAAGGAUUCUGCCUUUCAUGCAGCGACUCCGCCGAGCGCUCGCGGCCUCGUUGGCCCCGCGCAUUUCUGUGCAGCCGAAUGUUUGCAGCUUCUUUGAACGAUAUUCGUUAAAAAAGAAUAAAAG